rnacentral:rRNA from 1 species
GAUGAACGCUGGCGGCGUGCUUAACACAUGCAAGUCGAACGGGAAUUAUUUUAUUGAAACUUCGGUCGAUUUAAUUUAAUUCUAGUGGCGGACGGGUGAGUAACGCGUGGGUAACCUGCCUUAUACAGGGGGAUAACAGUCAGAAAUGGCUGCUAAUACCGCAUAAGCGCACAGAGCUGCAUGGCUCAGUGUGAAAAACUCCGGUGGUAUAAGAUGGACCCGCGUUGGAUUAGCUGGUUGGUGGGGUAACGGCCCACCAAGGCGACGAUCCAUAGCCGGCCUGAGAGGGGGAACGGCCACAUUGGGAAUGAGACACGGCCCAGACUCCUACGGGAGGCAGGAGUGGGGAAUAUUGCACAAUGGGGGAAACCCUGAUGCAGCGACGCCGCGUGAAGGAAGAAGUAUCUCGGUAUGUAAACUUCUAUCAGCAGGGAAGAUAGUGACGGUACCUGACUAAGAAGCCCCGGCUAACUACGUG